rnacentral:rRNA from 1 species
GGACUACUAGGGUUUCUAAUCCCGUUUGCUCCCCUGGCUUUCGCGCCUCAGCGUCAGUAGUGGUCCAGCAGGUCGCUUUCGCCACCGGCGUUCCUUCCGAUAUCAACGCAUUUCACCGCUCCACCGGAAGUUCCACCUGCCCCUACCACCCUCGAGUCUCCCAGUAUCCAAGGCACUUUUCCGGUUAAGCCGAAAGAUUUCACCCCGGACUUUGGAGACCGCCUACGCGCCCUUUAAGCCCAGUGAAUCCGAACAACGUUCGCACGGUUCGUCUUACCGCGGCUGCUGGCAC